rnacentral:rRNA from 1 species
ACCCUUUGUGACAUACCUAACCGUUGCUUCGGCGGGCAGGGGAAGCCUCUCGCGGGCCUCCCCUCCCGGCGCCGGCCCCACCACGGGGACGGGGCGCCCGCCGGAGGAAACCAAACUCUAUUUACACGACGUCUCUUCUGAGUGGCACAAGCAAAUAAUUAAAACUUUUAACAACGGAUCUCUUGGUUCUGGCAUCGAUGAAGAACGCAGCGAAAUGCGAUAAGUAAUGUGAAUUGCAGAAUUCAGUGAAUCAUCGAAUCUUUGAACGCACAUUGCGCUCGCCAGCAUUCUGGCGAGCAUGCCUGUUCGAGCGUCAUUUCAACCCUCAAGCACCGCUUGGUUUUGGGGCCCCACGGCACACGUGGGCCCUUAAAGGUAGUGGCGGACCCUCCCGGAGCCUCCUUUGCGUAGUAACUAACGUCUCGCACUGGGAUCCGGAGGGACUCUUGCCGUAAAACCCCCCAAUUUUUUACAGGUUGACCUCGGAUCAGGUAGGAAUACCCGCUGAACUUAAGCAUAUCAA